rnacentral:tRNA from 1 species
AGCGGGGUGGGGUAGCCAGGUUUAACCCGCUGGGCUCAUAACCCAGAGAUCGGUAGUUCAAAUCUACUCCCCGCUACCA